CUCCUACGGGAGGCAGCAGUCGGGAAUAUUGCACAAUGGAGGAAACUCUGAUGCAGUGACACCGCGUAUAGGAAGAAGGUUUUCGGAUUGUAAACUAUUUUAGACAGGGAAGAAAAAAGACAGUACCUGUAGAAUAAGCUCCGGCUAACUACGUGCCAGCAGCCGCGGUAAUACGUAGGGAGCAAGCGUUAUCCGGAAUUACUGGGUGUAAAGGGAGAGUAGGCGGCAAGGUAAGCGAUAUGUGAAAGCCUUAAGCUUAACUUAAGGAUGGCAUAACGAACUAUCUAGCUAGAGUACAGGAGAGG
rnacentral:rRNA from 1 species